rnacentral:rRNA from 1 species
GAUGAGCGCUGGCGGCGUGCUUAACACAUGCAAGUCGAACGAAGCACUUUAUUUGAUUUCCUUCGGGACUGAUUAUUUUGUGACUGAGUGGCGGACGGGUGAGUAACGCGUGGGUAACCUGCCUUGUACAGGGGGAUAACAGUUGGAAACGGCUGCUAAUACCGCAUAAGCGCACGGCAUCGCAUGAUGCAGUGUGAAAAACUCCGGUGGUAUAAGAUGGACCCGCGUUGGAUUAGCUAGUUGGUGAGGUACCGGCCCACCAAGGCGACGAUCCAUAGCCGAACUGAGAGGGUGACCGGCCACAUUGGGACUGAGACACGGCCCAAACUCCUACGGGAGGCAGCAGUGGGGAAUAUUGCACAAUGGGCGAAAGACUGAUGCAGCGACGCCGCGUGAGCGAAGAAGUAUUUCGGUAUGUAAAGCUCUAUCAGCAGGGAAGAUAAUGACGGUACCUGACUAAGAAGCACCGGCUAAAUACGUG